rnacentral:rRNA from 1 species
CAGUCGCCGCGGGAACACGUAGGGUGCGAGCGUUAAUCGGAAUUACUGGGCGUAAAGCGUGCGCAGGCGGUUGUGUAAGACAGGUGUGAAAUCCCCGGGCUUAACCUGGGAACUGCGCUUGUGACUGCACAGCUAGAGUAUGGCAGAGGGGGGUGGAAUUCCACGUGUAGCAGUGAAAUGCGUAGAGAUGUGGAGGAACACCGAUGGCGAAGGCAGCCCCCUGGGCCAAUACUGACGCUCAUGCACGAAAGCGUGGGGAGCAAACGGGAUUAGAUAUCCGCGUAGUCCCUGUCUCUUAUAC